rnacentral:rRNA from 1 species
UAGUCAUAUGCUUGUCUCAAAGAUUAAGCCAUGCAUGUGUAAGUAUAAGCAAGUAUACUGCGAAACUGCGAACGGCUCAUUAAAUCAGUUAUGAUGCGUACGAUGUUGAGUUACAUGGAUACCCGUGGUAAUUCUAGAGCUAAUACAUGGUGUGGGCUUCGGCCUGCCUCUAUUAGAUCCCCAACCCGCUUUGUUGUGUUGACUCCUAGUAGCUGUGCGGAUCGCGUGCCCUUGCGGCGGCGACGUGUCGUUGCGGUAACUGCCCUAUCAACUUGUG